rnacentral:rRNA from 1 species
UUUCAAGUUACUAAGGGCGCAUGGUGGAUGCCUUGGCACGAGAAGGCGAUGAAGGACGUGGCUAGCUGCGAUAAGCUUCGGGUUGCCGCUAAACAGGCGUUAUCCGAAGAUUUCCGAAUGGGGAAACCCGGCGGGAGUAAUGUCCCGUCAUUUAUGAACUGAAUACAUAGGUUCAUAGAGGCGACACUUACCGAAGUGAGACAUCUCAGUAGGUAAAGGAAAAGAAAUCAAACGAGAUUCCCGUAGUAGCGGCGAGCGAAGUGGGAA